rnacentral:rRNA from 1 species
AGUGAACGCUGGCGGUAGGCCUAACACAUGCAAGUCGAACGGCAGCACAGUAAGAGCUUGCUCUUACGGGUGGCGAGUGGCGGACGGGUGAGGAAUACAUCGGAAUCUACUUUUUCGUGGGGGAUAACGUAGGGAAACUUACGCUAAUACCGCAUACGACCUACGGGUGAAAGCAGGGGAUCUUCGGACCUUGCGCGAUUGAAUGAGCCGAUGUCGGAUUAGCUAGUUGGCGGGGUAAAGGCCCACCAAGGCGACGAUCCGUAGCUGGUCUGAGAGGAUGAUAAGCCACACUGGAACUGAGACACGGUCCAGACUCCUACGGGAGGCAGCAGUGGGGUAUAUUGGACAAUGGGCGCAAGCCUGAUCCAGCCAUACCGCGUGGGUGAAGAAGGCCUUCGGGUUGUAAAGCCCUUUUGUUGGGAAAGAAAAGCAGCAGGUUAAUACCCCGCUGUUCUGACGGUACCCAAAGAAUAAGCACCGGCUAACUUCGUG